rnacentral:lncRNA from 1 species
AUGGAGGAGUCCGAUGCUCCCCGCAGGACUCACCUUCCUCCUCAAUUAGAAAUCAGACAGUCUGCCCAUGGUCCACGGACCUCGUCAGGAAAACGCGGGAUUCCAGCGUCUCACCAGAUCAGGGAAAACGGGGAGGAAGCCGACGCGUUUUCCAACAACAAGGACUCGGAAAACCGCGACUGGGGAACGGCAGCCUGUUCCGCGCCGGUAGAACUUGCUCGGAUUUGGAGCCGCCGGGGACCGGUGAAGACGCACGCGAGGCAGCCCCCAACUCCAAACCACGAGUCUCGGUGCAUCUCAGGAAGCCCAGCUCUGAGCUGCGUUGGGGGCAUCGCCCGGUCCUGUGAUGUGCCUCGCCUCAGACCUCUCUCCUCCAGCGUUUCUCUUCUUCCCCCUUCCGAGACCUUUGCCAGAUCAUCAGAUGAGAUGAAUAGGAUUGCAGUUUCCAUCACUGACAGGGAGACAGGCAAUCCUAGAAAUUCCCUACUGGGCCACUGGCUCAGAGAGUCACACAUCUUAAAAGAACUCUAUACAGGGAGCCUUUAACUGGUAUGCCUAACACCGGUUACCACUCAGCCCUGUGACCUUCCCCCAGUGAUUCUGGAUUCCUGUUUUUUCAACUGGAAAGCGAGAGGCUUGGAUGAUUUGAUGUCUGAGGUCUCUUCCACUUUGACAAUCAACAACCCAAGUGGCCCUCUGGCCUCUAUGGCCUGCAAAGGGCUGAGCCCUGGGAGGUGUCCCUGGCGUGGCCUCCGGUCCCUGCUCUGCCUGCCGGGCUGCAUUCACCUUGGUGUCAUCUCCCUGAUGAGAUGGCCAGGAGCACAAAUCAAUAUAACAAGAUGCUGCUCAAGCCUUGGUGACCAUGUAAAUUUGCCCAGAUACUGCCACCUACCAGCGUCCAGCUCCUGCGGUCAUGGUAGCUGUACCCCUGUUCAGUGGUUCUCCAGGUAGAGGCCGAUGGGGGUGGCAGGCUUAACUUUGAGCCCCCUUUGCUAAGAGAGCAAAGGCUCUAUCUCUCCCAUUUCCUUCUGCAGGGAGAUUGUCCAUAUGUUCAUCUUUUCUGUGUGACUCUUUGUGUAUAGGAUCUAAAAAGCAGGAUGCUGGAAUGAGUUGCACUAUCCAGAGGGCAUAUUAGGAGACGUGUUUUUCUCGCAACACACUUGCCUUUGUAUCCUAAACUUUACUGUCCACAUGCUACUUUCAUGAAUUGUCCUACAUCCACUUACCACUUGCUCUAUUAGGUACUUAGAUUUCUAUUUAGC